rnacentral:rRNA from 1 species
AUUGAACGCUGGCGGCAGGCCUAACACAUGCAAGUCGAGCGGAUGAAGGGAGCUUGCUCCUGGAUUCAGCGGCGGACGGGUGAGUAAUGCCUAGGAAUCUGCCUGGUAGUGGGGGAUAACGUCCGGAAACGGGCGCUAAUACCGCAUACGUCCUGAGGGAGAAAGUGGGGGAUCUUCGGACCUUACGCUAUCAGAUGAGCCUAGGUCGGAUUAGCUAGUUGGUGGGGUAAAGGCCUACCAAGGCGACGAUCCGUAACUGGUCUGAGAGGCUGAUCAGUCACACUGGAACUGAGACACGGUCCAGACUCCUACGGGAGGCAGCAGUGGGGAAUAUUGGACAAUGGGCGAAAGCCUGAUCCAGCCAUGCCGCGUGUGUGAAGAAGGUCUUCGGAUUGUAAAGCACUUUAAGUUGGGAGGAAGGGCAGUAAGUUAAUACCUUGCUGUUUUGACGUUACCAACAGAAUAAGCACCGGCUAACUUCGUG